AUUGAACGCUGGCGGCAGGCCUAACACAUGCAAGUCGAGCGGAUGAAGGGAGCUUGCUCCUGGAUUCAGCGGCGGACGGGUGAGUAAUGCCUAGGAAUCUGCCUGGUAGUGGGGGAUAACGUCCGGAAACGGGCGCUAAUACCGCAUACGUCCUGAGGGAGAAAGUGGGGGAUCUUCGGACCUCACGCUAUCAGAUGAGCCUAGGUCGGAUUAGCUAGUUGGUGGGGUAAAGGCCUACCAAGGCGACGAUCCGUAACUGGUCUGAGAGGAUGAUCAGUCACACUGGAACUGAGACACGGUCCAGACUCCUACGGGAGGCAGCAGUGGGGAAUAUUGGACAAUGGGCGAAAGCCUGAUCCAGCAAUGCCGCGUGUGUGAAGAAGGUCUUCGGAUUGUAAAGCACUUUAAGUUGGGAGGAAGGGAAGUAAGUUAAUACCUUGCUGUUUUGACGUUACCAAAAGAAUAAGCACCGGCUAACUUCGUG
rnacentral:rRNA from 1 species